rnacentral:rRNA from 1 species
AUGCAGGAAGAUACGGAAGCGAACCAAGCCCCCAAAAAGAAAAGAAAGGCACCCUCCAGCGCACCUAUAAGCGCGAAUGAAGGACGUGUUUUGAGGUCUAGGGUAUCAAAAGAUCAAGAUCAUGUAGAUCCUGAGCAUCAGCCUUCCAAAGAGAUUACUUGUGAGCUUGAUGAUGAAGGUAGUCAAAAGAAAGGUGGAAGAAAAAUUACUCGAAAGGCUAACAUAUAUGCAAGGUUGAAUCAACCCAAAAACCAUAUUCCACUUAAUGGGAAUGGCCAGCCUGUUGGGCCAGAUGCAACUGAAUUUGCCAAUUUCAUUGGUACUUUGGUGAGGAAGCAUAUACCACCUGCAGAGUUAGAUUGGCGAGAUGUUGAUGUAGACAAAAAAUUGUUAGUGUGGGAGACCUUGAAGGCAUUUUAUGAGCUCGACUCAACCGCCUUGAGCUUUGUUCUCAACACUUCACACAUAAAAUGGAAGGAUUGGAAGUCAGAUUUAAAGAGGUACAAGUUCGAUGCUGCACUGACUGAUGCACAACUUAUGAAAAGACAUGAUAGCAGAAUUAGUGAAGCUGAUUGGAAGACCCUUAUUACUUAUUGGAGAUCUUCGGCAUUUGAAUCUCGUAGUGCUAUCGCCAAAAAGAAUCGUGCCAAUGCAGUGCCUCAUACAUCUGGUAGCAAUAGUCAUGCCCGUGUUGCCAAUGAAAUGGCUGUCAAACUUGGGCAUGAUCCUCGAAGAGAUGAAGUUUAUAUCGAAACACAUACAUGCAAGAAAGGGGAAAGGAAAGGGAGUUAUGUGCCGCAGGCAGCAGCAACAAUUAAAGAACUCAUAGAGAAAGGUGAACAGCACCCCAAAUGGAAGGAAAAAAACAUUAAAGAAGGUGAUCUGUUUGCACGUGUAUGUGGAAUGAGGGAGCCCAGGGGUCGUGUUCGUGUGUUAGGUCUAGGUCCAACACCUCAAGAUUUGGGCACACCGGGUACACGGGGUAAAUUGAGCACAAGAGUUCUAGUUGAAAUGGAAGGGCCUCGAGAAGCUGAAAAUCGCCUUAACAUGCUGGAGGGGCAUGUGCUAGAAAUGCAAGAACGGAUGAACCGAAUGGAAUUGAUGUUAGCUUCACAAGGAGAGCAUAAUCUGGAAACUCCUAGCUCGCAGCAGGGUUCCAAUUCUUGA